GCAACCCUAGGUCAGGCGGGAUUACCCACUGAGUUUAAGCAUAUCAAUAAGCAGAGGAAAAGAAACUUACAAGGAUUUCCUUAGUAAUGGCGAGCGAACUGGGAACAACCCAGUCUUAGAAUCGAGCGGAUCCGUCAUCUGAAUUGUAGUCCGGAGAAGUGUACUUAGCGGUGGACCGAGACUAAGUCCCCAGAAAGGGGGCGCUAAAGAGGGUGAGAGCCCCAUUGUGCCCAGACCCUGUCUCACCACGAGGCGCUAUCUAUGAGUCAGGUUGUUUGGGAAUGCAGCCCAAAUCAAGUAGUGAAUUUGGUCCAAGGCUAAAUACGGGUGAGAGAACAAUAGCGAACAAAUACUGCAAAGGGAAAAUAAAAAGGACUUUGAAAAGAGAGUCAAAGAGCGCUUAAAAUUACCAGGAGGGAAAUGGAUGGGGGCCAGCGAUGCACCCCGGUCGGAUGUGAAACGGUGAUAAGUAGAUCCGCAGAUCGACUUAGGCUGUGGACCAGUCUAGAUUGGGGGAGGACAAAGCCCGAGCUCUUGAUACACUUGUGGAACGCCAUCUCCUUGAUUAUGGUAGGCAGCGCGCACCUCCGUCAUGCUUCAAUAUCUAUGCACUCCAGAUGCUGUCCUUUGGGCUUUCCAUUUGAACCGUCUUGAAACACGGAGCAAAGAUUCUGACAUGUGUGUGAGUCAAUGGGAAAGUAAACUCGUAAGUUACAAGGAAGAUGAUUUAUGGGAUCCCCUUGAGGGGUGCACCGCCGACCGACCUUGAUCUUCUGAGAAGGGUUCGAGUAUGAGAAUACCUAUCGGGAUCCAAAAGAUGGUGAACUAUGCCUGAGCGAGGUGAAGCCAGAGGAAACUCUCAUGGAGGCCUGCAGCAAUACUGAUGUGCAAAUUGUUCAUCUGAAUUGGGUAUAGGGGAGAAAGACUAAUCGAACCAUUUAGUAGUUCGUUCCCUCUGAAGUUUCCCUUAGGAUAGCUAGAGCUCGCAUACGAGUUAUAUCAGCUAAAGCCAAUGAUUAGAGUCCUCGGGGGUGCAACUCCCUUGACCUAUUCUCAAACUUUAAAUAGGUAGGACGGUGCAGCUUCUUUGUUAAGCUGCACCACAAAAUCAAGAGCUCCAAGUGGGAUAUUUUUGUUAAGCAGAACUGGCGAUGAGGGAUGGACCAGAAGCCGGGUUACAGUGCCAAACUAUGCGCUAACCUAGAUCCUUCAAAGCGUGUUGGUUAAUUAAGACAGCAGGACGGUGGUCAUGAAAGUUAAAAUCUACUAAGGAGUGUGUCACGAUUUACCUGCCGAAUCAAAUAGCCCCAAAAAUGAAUGGCACUAAAGUACGUGACCUACACCCGGCCAUUGGGGCAAGUUCCACGCCCCAUUGAGUAGGAAGGCACGACGGUCGCUGCAAAACCUUAGGCGCGCAAGUGGCUUUCGGUGCAGAUCUUGGUGGUAGUAGAAAAUAUUCAAAUGAAAACUUUGAAGGCUGAAGUGGGGAAAGGUUUUAUGUGAACAACACUUGCACAUAGGUUAGUUGAUCCUAAGGGUCGGGGGAACCUCGACAGAUAGCGCAUUUCAUGUGUACUUCAAAAGAAAAUUAGGAUAAAAUUCCUUAACUGGGAUGUGGUGGUCGACGGUAAUGUUAGGAAAUCUAGAUACAUCGGUGGGAGCUUUGGGAAGAGUUAUCUUUUCUGUUUAAUAGCAUGCCCACACUAGAAUUGGCUCAGUCGGAGAUGGGGUCCAGCGAAUGGAAGAGCACCACAUGUCGCGUGGUAUCUGGUGUUCUACCGUCGAACCUUAAAAAUAUAGAGGACCGAAUGUUAUCCAUUCCUGAUCGUACUCAUAACCGCAUCAGGUCUCCAAGGUGAACAACCUCUGGUCAAUGGAACAAUGUAGGCAAGGAAAGUCGGUAAAAUGGAUCCGUAACUUCAGGAAAAAGAUUAACUCUGAGGGUUGGGCAUGAGGGUCCCAGUCCCAAACCUAUCGGCUAUCGGUGGACUGCUUGAUCUACUUUCAUGGUGAGAGCAGGUCAUCGCGUGCCAGCCGGGGGAUGGACUAGGAACGGUUCCUUUGGGGGCCUUCCUCGCGCAUCGAAUAGCCAACUCAGAAUUGGUAUGGACAAGGAGAAUCUGACUGUUUAAUUAAAAUAAAGCAUUGCGAUGGUCCCAACGAAUGUUCACGCAAUGUGAUUUCUACCCAGUGCUCUGAAUAUCAAAUUGUAGAAAGUUAACCAAGCGCAGGUAAACGGCGGGAGUAACUAUGACUCUCUUAAGGUAGCCAAAUGCCUCAUCAUCUAAUUAGUGAUGCACAUUAAUGGAUUAACGAGAUUCCCACUGUCCCUGUCUACCAUCCAGAGAAACCACAGCCAAAGGAACAGACUUGGAAGAAUCAGCGGGGAAAGAAGAACCUAUUGAGAUUAACUCUAGUCCAACUUUGUGAAAUGACUUGAGAGGUGUAGUAUAAGUAGGAUCCAAAAGGAGAAAGUGAAAUACUACUACUUUUCACAUUAUUUUACUUAUUCCGUGAAUCGUAAAUGAGGCACUGCCCCUCUUUUUGGACCCAAGGCUCGCUCUGCGAGCGGAUUUGGGCAGAAGAUAUUAUUCGGUGGGGAGUUUGGAUGGGGCGGCACAUCUAUUGAAAAAUAAUGCAGGUGUCCUAAGAUGAUCUUAGUGACAACUAAAAUCUCGUGUGGAACAUAAGGGUAAAAACUCAUUUCAUUCUGAUUUCCAGUAUGAAUACGAACCAUGAAAGUGUGGCCUAACAAUCCUUUAGACCUUUGAAAUUCAAAGCUAGAGAUGUCAGAAAAGUUACUACAUAGAUAACUGGCUUGUGGCAGCCAAGCGUUCAUAGAGAUGUUACUUUUUUAUCCUUCAAUGUCGGAUCUUCCUAUCAUUGUGAAGCAGAAUUCACCAAGAGUUGGAUUGUUCACCCACCAAUAGGGAACAUGAGCUGGAUUUAGAUUAUCAUGAGAUAGGUUAGUUUUACCCUACUGAUGAUAGUGUCGCAAUAGUAAUCCAACCUAGUAUGAGAGAAACCGUUGAUUCACACAAUUGGUCAUCGUGCUUGGUUGAUAAGCCAGUGGUACAAAGCUAUCAUGUGCUAGAUUAUGAUUGAAUGUCUCUAAGUCAGAAUCUAGGCUUGAAGCGAUGCAUGCACCCAUUGUCCGCUUUCCGACCUACAGUAGGUCGUUGGCUAAGACACCAUGGCAGAAGGGUCAUGGUGGCCGCCUUAAAGUACAAUUUCCAACAAGCGGUGAGUAGAAUCCUUUGCAGACGACUUAAAUAACUGAC
rnacentral:rRNA from 1 species